rnacentral:piRNA from 1 species
UCGGCCUCUUCUCUCAAUGAACACCUGC